GUCUUCAGCCCUACCCCCCUGAAGGGACCUUGUCUCAUCUGAUCUCAGAAGCUAAGCAGGGCCAUGCCAUGGUUAGUACUUGGAUAGCAGGAGGUC
rnacentral:rRNA from 1 species